AACCACCCCAGGCCCUUUGCACCUGCUAUUCCCUCUGUCCAGCAUGCUCUGCCCCAGACAGUUGCAGUGCUAACAUCUUACUUCCUUCAGGUUUUACUCAGAAAUUACUUUCUCAGUGGGGUCUUCCAUGAUCAUCCUAUUUAAGGUUUCAACUACUUUGCCAGCAUUUCACUUUCCCUCCCUUGAUCUUUUCUUCCAAGCACUCACUGACCUCUAACACACUGUAUCUUUUACUUAUUUAUCUUGUUCAGUUUCUGGCUGCCUCACCACAGUGUACAUUCCACAAGGAUAGAGAUUUUGUCUGUUUUGUUGAUUACUGUAGCCCUGGCAUCUUGAGCAGUGCCUGCCACGUGGUGGAAUUAAAUAAAUAUUUACUGAAUGGAUGAGUGGCUUCAUGCUUAAAAGCGAGAAGAGAGACCUUCAUAGAGAAGUAGGAAAAUCAAACGUUGCACAGAUAAAGGGCCAUGGAGAGAGAGAGAGAGAGAGCAAACAAUUAAGGAGCAGCAGUGGCUUCCUGCAGGGGAGACGAAUGCCUUCUGUCCUCUGUGGAAACAGCCUGGCAUUCUUCCAACUGAUGAAUGGCAUGGACCAGGAGCACCAGUUAUUUUCAGCUUCUGAGCAUCCAAAUAAAUAAACAUACAAAUGCGUAACAUAAAAUAAAUUCAAAUUACAAAUGAGAAAAGCAAUCCAGGUAACUGACAGUUUCUGACUUGAUGUGGAGGCUGGGAAAUGCAUCCUUGAACCUUGCAAUGCAGUGAGCCAAGGAGCGAUGAGAGGCCACAUGAAUAACUGGGCCAGUGACAAGACACAUGUCUUCCUCCUUGCUGGUAUACACAAAAUGCCCUGCGCCCGGUGAAUGCUCAAUAGUGGAAGUGACAGAAUUCCAUCACUAUUAAACACAACCAGUGUUGCGGUUGACAGUUGCACUGAAGCAGGUGAAAAAUGAAUAUAGCAGUUCCUGUCUUUGAAGAGUUUGCAGCCUCCUGCAGAGGAUUUACAGGUAAGAAGGACCCAGGCUGGUAGGGCCUCUACCAUCUGGAAAGUGACAAGAGGAAGAGAGAGAAUGAAACAAAAGUAGGCAUUGGCUCUCACCUUUUGCCAGAAGAGACAAACAUUGUUUUCAGUUAUUUUCAUUGGCUCAAUCAAGCCAUGGCAACAAUUGAGUUCAAAAGCAUAGCGAGGUGUCUGGAAGGAAGACAAUCAGAAAAUUUCUGAUGAGCUGCACUGACUACCUUCUGGACAAAAAGGAAGAGAGGCAUUCCAGAUGAGAGAUCUGCAUUAGAAACCCCUUGAAGACCGGAAAGGUAUGCUAUAUUUUUGAAACUGUGAGGAGCUCAGGAAGACUAAAGCCCAAAAAAACUUCACUUAUUCAAUAUU